GGGCUUGUAGCUCAGUUGGUUAGAGCGCGCGCUCGAUAAGCGUGAGGUCGGAGGUUCAAGUCCUCCCAGGCCCACCA
rnacentral:tRNA from 1 species